rnacentral:rRNA from 1 species
GUACGGGAGGCAGCAGUGGGGAAUUUUCCGCAAUGGGCGAAAGCCUGACGGAGCAAUGCCGCGUGAAGGAAGAAGGCCUGUGGGUUGUAAACUUCUUUUAUCAGAGAAGAAAAAAUGACGGUAUCUGAUGAAUAAGCUCCAGCUAACCCUGUGCCAGCAGCCGCGGUAAUACAGGGGGAGCAAGCGUUAUCCGGAAUGAUUGGGCGUAAAGCGUUUGUAGGUGGCUUGUAAAGUCUGCUGUCAAAUAUCGAGGCUCAACCUCGAGAAGGCAGCGGAGUACUCACAAGCUUGAGUGUGGUAGAGGUAGAGGGAAUUCCAUGUGGAGCGGUGAAAUGCGUAGAGAUAUGGAAGAACACCAGCGGCGAAGGCGCUCUACUGGGCCAAGACUGACACUGAGAAACGAAAGCUAGGGGAGCGACUAGGAUUAGAUACCCUAGUAGUCG